rfam:Mesocricetus auratus contig038439, whole genome shotgun sequence.
AAAGAUGGUUGACCAUAAAACAUGCGCUCCCUCUGUGUCGUAUGUAGUAUGGUCCACAUCUUCU